rnacentral:rRNA from 1 species
GAUUAACGCUGGCGGCGUGCAUAACACAUGCAAGUCGAACGAAGGGGCGGACGGGUGAGUAACGCGUGAGUAACCUGCCUUACACAAGGGGAUAGCCGUUGGAAACGACGAAUAAUACUCUAUGGUGUAAGAUGGAGUCGCGUCUGAUUAGCCAGUUGGUGAGGUAACGGCCCACCAAGGCAACGGUCAGUAGCCGGCUUGGGAGAGGGUACGGCCUCAUUGGGACUGCGACACGGGCCAAACUCUACGGGAGGCAGCAGUGUGGAAGUUUGCCCACUGGGGGAAACCCUGAUGCAGCGACGCCGCGUGAUUUGGUAGGCCUUCGGGUCGUAAAAAUCUUUUGUAUGGGAAUCGGUACCAAACGAAUAAGGACCGGCUAAUUACGUGCCAGCAGCCGCGGUAAUAC